rnacentral:rRNA from 11 species
CAUAAAGGUAUUAAUGUCCUAAAGGCAUCUGCUUGUAUGAUAUCAGAAGCUAAGCAGGGUUAGCCCUGGUUAGAACUUGGAUGGGAGACCACCAGCAAAUAAAUCGGGUGCCUUAGGC